rnacentral:rRNA from 1 species
AGUGAACGCUGGCGGUAGGCCUAACACAUGCAAGUCGAACGGCAGCACAGUAAGAGCUUGCUCUUACGGGUGGCGAGUGGCGGACGGGUGAGGAAUACAUCGGAAUCUACUUUUUCGUGGGGGAUAACGUAGGGAAACUUACGCUAAUACCGCAUACGACCUACGGGUGAAAGCAGGGGAUCUUCGGACCUUGCGCGAUUGAAUGAGCCGAUGUCGGAUUAGCUAGUUGGCGGGGUAAAGGCCCACCAAGGCGACGAUACGUAGCUGGUCUGAGAGGAUGAUCAGCCACACUGGAACUGAGAAACGGUCCAGACUCCUACGGGAGGCAGCAGUGGGGAAUAUUGGACAAUGGGCGCAAGCCUGAUCCAGCCAUACCGCGUGGGUGAAGAAGGCCUUCGGGUUGUAAAGCCCUUUUGUUGGGAAAGAAAAGCAGAAGGUUAAUACCCCGCUGUUCUGACGGUACCCAAAGAAUAAGCACCGGCUAACUUCGUG